rnacentral:rRNA from 1 species
CCGGUCUGAACUCAGAUCACGUAAGAUUUUAAAAGUCGAACAGACUUAAAAUUUAAGCAACUACACCUAAACUUAUAUCUUAAUCCAACAUCGAGGUCGCAAUCUUUUUUAUCGAUAUGAACCCUCCAAAAAAAUUACGCUGUUAUCCCUAAAGUAACUUAAAUUUUUAAUCGCUAAUAACGGAUCAAAUAACCAUAAAUCAAUGUAAAACUAAAUUAAAAGUUAUUCUAAUUUUAAUAUCACCCCAAUAAAAUAUUAAUUAUAAUUAUAAUAUAACAAAUCUACAAAAUUAUAAUAACUUAAAUAUAAAGAUUUAUAGGGUCUUCUCGUCUUUUAAAUAAAUUUUAGCUUUUUAACUAAAAAAUAAAAUUCUAUUAUAAAUUUUUAUGAAACAGUUAAUAUUUCGUCCAACCAUUCAUUCUAGCCUUCAAUUAAAAGACUAAUGAUUAUGCUACCUUUGCACAGUUAAUAUACUGCGGCCAUUUAAAUUAAAUCAGUGGGCAGGUUAAACUUUUUAAUAAUUCCAAAAAGACAUGUUUUUGUUAAACAGGCG